AAUACAAUUUGCAUACUUUUUAAACCGGAGUUUCUUUUUGUAUCAGCUCAAUCUGACUGUGUUUGGGCUUCUCAGUCAGAGGAAGUGGUGAAUGGGUUUCCUGCCCCUCCUCCAGAAACAUACACACACACACACACGGUGAGAUGUGUGUGUGCAGAGAGAGCGAGCGAGCGAGUGAGAGAGCGACGGGGAAACCAGAGAGCCGAGCGAAAGAAGGUUAGCCAGCCAGCGGCGAGUGAAGAAAAUGGCGAUCACGCAGGAUGAAUGCCUCCCCUCGUAGAUGCUGCAAACGCGUUGAAUUUCUUUAGCCUUACAGUCGGCUUUCCUUUCCACUCUGUUGCACUUUAUACUUCAAUGAGAUUCGGAAUUGGAAGCUGUUGCCACCAAAGAAACUGAAGCAUCUUAACAGAAAGAAAAGGAAGAGUAUGAACAGUUGAUACUUUUGAGGCACCGGUGGGGAUUACAUCCCUCAAGGAAAGAACAAAGACUGUGACGCACUUUCACUUUAAAGCCCCUUAGUUAUGUAUGAGCAUAACUUGACUGAGAGAGUUUGUAUACACAGACAUCCCAUACAAGUCUGGGAUAUUUAUAAGUCCA
ensembl:lncRNA